CCCCGCCCCCUCUGCGCCCGCGCCGCUCCCGCGCCGCCCCCCCCCCGGCAGUGCGGUGCUGCGCCGCGAACAUGGCGUCGGAGGGGAUGAUCCUGACGAACCACGACCACCAGAUCCGCGUCGGCGUCCUCACAGUGAGUGACAGUUGCUUCAGGAACCUUGCCGAGGAUCGUAGUGGGAUAAACCUUAAAGAUCUGGUCCAAGACCCUUCUUUGUGAGUAUCUGGCUCUUAUUGCUAAGCAAAGAAAAGCUUCUUCCUGAUAUCCUUGUGAGUAGUUUUGUAAUUAUAUAAAGAAGUAGUAUGAUGAAGUACACAUAAUGCCUUAGUGGUUUAUGGUUGUCAACUUGUUAGUCUUUAAUACAAGCAAGUAUUAUUAAAAACACCUUAUUUUUAAUAUAAUUCUGAAGUAACAUCCAGAGAGCACAUACAGUAAAGGGUUUAAGAGUCAUCAGAGGGUAACAGAUUGUGCAUACAAUUCCUCUAUAGAAAUACUAGCAUGCACAUUGUUGCCCCCCUUUUUUUAAGGCGGAAUUGCAUAUAAAUUAGAAUAUUACUGGAUAAUUGUUAUUGUCAAUUACCUUAAUCAAGAAUCUGUUUUCUUUGUAUCUGAUUUUAUACAGCUGAUAUGUGUUUCUUCCCCUACUACCUUUUUCAACUUAAGUAUAUGUGUACAUCGUCUAAAUUUUGCUUCAUCACAAGCCUGCUUGGUCUUUAUCUUUCUCUAAAAUCAAAUUCAAUUUCAUGAACUUUGAGCUGGACUUGAAAUUGUAUCAGACCUUCUUGGUCAUUCAGUUUUUUGUUUGUGGUUUUCUUUUGUUCAUGGGGUUUUUCUUCUCAUCUGUUAACUUUGGUACUAGCUGAAAAUGUUCUUGCUAGUGUGUGAGUGUGACAGAAAAAUAAAAAAAAUUUGCAUCUUUUUAACAUGAAUGACAGUGCAUUCCACAGUGAGCUCUAAUGUGCUGGUCCUUGCUGCUGAAAGAGCAGAUUUUUCAGUACUGAUUGAAAAAUAGUAAAAAAUAAGGUGCAUUUGGCAUCUUAGUUUAGUUACAGGGAUUUAUAGUAAUUGUGUAGAUAUAGAAUUUAUUUUGUCAUGUUGCUAGAGGUAAAUGACAUAAAUGCACAUGUACAUGUAUCCUUGGGCGAUUUUGAUAAUAGUGUACGUGAUGAUUUAUACAUUUGAAAUAGAGGUACAAGAGGCAAGUAUAAUUGUUGCUUGAUAUGUAAAGAGUGAAUGCAAUAGAUAAAUUUUUAAUAGUUACUGUUUAAGUGUUGAAGUCAAAGCUAUUUGAAAGGUCCUAAUUUUCAAAGUUUUUCUGUUGAGUGGUGUCUUUUGAGUAUUUUGGUUGGUUGGCUUUGAUUCUUCAUUUGUUUGCUUCAGAAUUUAUAUGUGGGUUUUGCAGCUGCAGGUAGGCUUGUGUGUUACAUAUAAUUUUGGGCUUGCACCUUUUGAGUUUACUCUCAGAAAGUUUAAAUGCCUUUGUUGUAGAAAACUAUUUUCUAUAUUUUUUACCAGAAGUGAUGGAAUCUUUUCAUUUUCUUCCUUGACCAUAACUCACAUGAAGAAUAUUGUAAUAAAUUAUUGUAAUGUUCAAAAGAAAUUAAAUAGAUUUCUAUUUCUUAUGGCACAAGAAGCACAAGUGACAGCAAUGUAGCCAUUUUUGUCACUUUGAAAGACUGAAUAAAGUCUCAGCCCUUAGAUUUCAAGGGCUGCUUAUGAUACUUUGCUAUAUGACAGAUUACAGUUCAAGAAAAGUGUCCUGUUUCUGCUGAAUGAUAGGAAUAUAUAGACUUGGGUUUGUCUUUCCAAAUCUAUAUUCUUGCUGUUUUAUGACUGAGCACCUAUUAAGAGUUCUUGCAAAAUGUGUAAUGGUGUGAGAGAAUCUCCAAAA